rnacentral:rRNA from 1 species
GACAGAGGGUGCUAGCGUUGUUCGGAAUGACUGGGCGUAAAGGGCGCGUAGGCUGUUAUUCAAGUCAGAUGUGAAAGCCCCGGGCUUAACCUAGGAACUGCAUUUGAUACUGGAUGACUGGAGUGCGAGAGAGGAAAGCGGAAUUCCUAGUGUAGAGGUGAAAUUCGUAGAUAUUAGGAGGAACACCAGAGGCGAAGGCGGCUUUCUGGCUCGCAACUGACGCUGAGGCGCGAAAGCGUGGGGAGCAAACAGG